GUCUAAGGACAUACCACCCUAAACACACGAUAUCUCAUCUGAUCUUGGAAGCUAAGUAGGGUUGGGCUUGGUUGGUACUUGGAUGGGAGACCACCUAGGAAUACCAGGUGCUGUAGGUA
ensembl:rRNA 5S_rRNA 5S ribosomal RNA